UUCCUCUUUUCUCCUCUCUAAUCUGCAUUGGGAGCUCUCUCAUCUGAUUUGGGACUUGUCUUCUUUGUAGAAAAGAUAGCAAGCACUUUACAUGGUGGAUACGCCGCUGGCGCUAAUGCAUGAUGGUGUUUGUGCUUCACUUAGGCGGACUCGGGCCUUAGUGACUUAAAAGACAAUUAUUGUGUUAGUUUAGUUUGAACUGAAAGACAAUGUGAACUCUUCAUUUAAUAAUACAUAACUUUAAUUGCCAUGGUUGUUGAAACAAUAAUUCUGUCGCAAUUCACUCCCCGGCGUUUCCGCCGCGGUUUCGUUGUUUUGACGCGGCCGGGGUGUGACAGUAUUUUGUUAAGUCAUAUUACUUUAAAUCCAAAAAUAAUAUAACUAUACACAAAGUAUACACAUAUUCACACAAGUGUCUUUAAUAUAAAAUAUAUAUUCUAAAUAUACAUUUACCCAUUUUUAUUUACAAAAACCAACCUCCAAUACUUGUAUUUUUGUGUCAAAAUUUAUCGCAAAGUUUAUAUUGAAAAACAUAGUUUAAAACACACUUGUAAAUACUUGUUUAGAAAAUAUUUCUAAGUGUUUGCAUUUUUAGAAAAUUUUGUCAUAGUUUCCUUUGAAAUUGGAGGUGUCCAUGCUAUUUAGCAUAUCAUUUUCUUUUCAAAAAUCAUCACACAAUAAUCAACAAUCAACCCUAAACAAUAUUAGACUUACCAAGUGCAAAAACUAGCUAUCUACAUAAAGAUCAUGAACUUGAGUUUUUGUAAAAUCUUGUAGUAACUUGGUGUUAUGUCUAGUAGCCUUAGUUACCCUCCAAAAUAUAUUUACUUCUUGAUAAACUUCAUUCUUGAAAGUUUUAGAUGUUUACAACUUCUAAACAUAUUUUACAAAAAUGUUUAUGUAUCAGAUCUUCUUGUUUCGUAAGUGUUUCUACACCUAUUUUAUCACUAAAAAUGGUGUAAGUUUAAGUAAAAACCAUGAUCUUCCAAAAAUCAUAUUUUAAACUUGGUUUUCUCGGAAAAUCAUUCAUAAAUCUUGAAUCUAUAAAUUUACUAGCUUACUUUGUUUAUUAUUUUUUGAGAAAUCCUUUUAUUCAUCAAGUUCAUGUUUACACAAGAAGAUGAUUAUCUUAUGUUGUCACAUAAUCAUCCUUUCACUUGGUAGAUCAUGUGUUUAAUCACAAUCUAGCAAGCUCCAUAUGAUGAUCAACAUCAUAUUCUCAAGAAAACAACAAUCAAUCAUCACACAUAUACUAAACUUCAUCAUUUUAUCCAUAUUUCAUCAUAUAUAAGCUUUAUGUUCAAGAUUCAAGUUUAUGUCUUUUAGUGAUCUUAUGAUUUUCCACAUAAUACAUCUUUUAACCACUAAAAAUAGAAGUAUCAAAGGGUUACAAGAAACUUACUACUAGCUCUAAGCUAUGGAAGAAACAAGUGUGAAGAUGGAGUGGAUAAAAGCUUGUGUGAGUGGUCCUUCAAGAUCCAAGAGUUCCAAGCUUCCUUAAUCACCCUUGAACACCUUUGUGAGCAUGUGGAUUGAAUGAAGCUUGAAUGAUGAUGAUGGUGGUGGAGGUGGGCUCACGGCCGAGAAGAAGAAGGGAGAGGGAGAGAGGUGAAGUGGUGAUGAUCAUGAAAGCUCUACUCCUUCUUAUAACCAUUUAGUGGUUUUGUCCAAUGGUCCUUAUGUUUCUAGAAGUACCAACAUAAUCUUCCACUAAAUCAAGCAAGAUCAAGGAAGAUUAGGGAAUAUCUUGUAAGAUUUUGGAGAUCACAAGUGGGGGCCACUUCUUGGUGAUCAUAAUAUGAAGAGAGGAGGGGGGGGGUUAUGUGUAACUUUAGAUGGUAAGUAGGUAAUUAGUUGGAGGUUAAGUGUAAAGUAUUGUGUUUUAAGUGUAUGAGGCAUUAUGUAGUAUGUUAGGGUGUUCGGGGAUCACAACUAGCUAAAAAAUAAUAAAACAAUGCU
rnacentral:lncRNA from 1 species